ensembl:processed_transcript
AAAGAGAGGAAGUUUUUGCAUUCUGAUUACAGCCUGAGUUCCCUUUAGCAAGGCUGCGUCUCUCCACCCACUCCUCACCAAGAACUCCUGAACUUGAGGGUGGACGACUUAAAAGCUAGCUCCCACAGACUCACCUGAAAAGACUUCAGCUGCGCGUUCAUUGAACUGAGAGGCCGGAUCACCUAUGUGAGGCGGUGGGAACCCUAUGGAGAUUUCUAUUAGAACUUCAGCAAAGUGCACUGCUGCAGCCGGCAGAAGCCAGCUCUCAGGCUGACAGGCAAAUGAUCCAGAUCCGUGAUCGGGGGCCUCUGGGUGGCAGCUCCGGCCUUUUGGUUGUUGGACAACUAUAGUCAGAACUGAAAUGGAACAGGGGCAGGAGAAAUAACACACUUUUACUCUACGCAACUGUUGCUUUCACAUGAUCUUCAGGAAUGUUACUGGGAUAACUGUUCAAAUCAAAUCCCAUGCUCCUAUCAUGCACACCAGAAUAGGGCUCCUGUCUUACUGAGCAGUAUACACUAUGGAGAGAUCCUUCAAAAUCCGUUGGGAGGAAGAACAGAUGAAUUCAUAAAACUGUUCAUCUCUGUUAUCCUGAAUGGUCACUCAGACAACAUUUUACUAAACUAUCAAGGGGAACACUUAAAGUGCCUGCGAGACGGGAAGAGAAUGACUACAGGAGAAAAUCAUCCCAGGUAAAAUGAAAAGGCACAAAUAUAGAGUGUGAUUAAUCUAGAAUAUUGAAGAUGAAAUGAUUAUGUCUGUGCUUGGUAUAAGAAAUCGCCCUUCCCUUUAUGAAGCUACCUAUUGGGAUUUUCACUGAUGGUUUUCCUUCAAGAGUUUUUAGUAUUACUUGCCUUUGUCAACCUUUUGUUUGGUUUUGUGAUCAGCGCCCAGUGUCCAUCAUUCUGAGGACAUAUGUGUAUGUUGAUUUAUACAAUUCAGGUGCAGGAUGGUUGAAUAGGAAGGAAUUUAAUGAAAAGGAAAAUAUGUUCUCAGUGGUUCUACCAUAUAAAAGGAAGUAAAAUCUGAGAGAAAAGUAUAAACUCAUAGUUUUUUAUCUUUUUCAUAUAUCUUGUAAGACAAUAAAGUCAAAGUAUAUUUUUUAAUAAUAAAAGCUACAGCCAGUGUUUUCUCUUUUUUUUUUACACAUGAAAUGUAUAAAUAUAUAAGGAAAUACUUUUACUACAAUUGGAUGCAUAAUUGUUGAUUAUUUACUACAGUUUUAAUAAGUAGGAGAAUGAUUUCAAAGUAAAUAAUAGUGAAAAUUUGUGUAGGCCAAAUUAUCUGUAUUAAACUCUAGAAAAUACAUUCUAUUUUUAUUUAUUUCAAAACAUGCCAAAUCAUGAAGUAAUUACUAUGCAGUAUUAUUUUUCACAAUGAAGAUAUAAUUAAGAAAAGCUAAAUCAUUUUAGAUAUGAGUGCAAUGAUUAACGAUUGUACAACUUAUAAUUUUGCUUCAGAUGAGCUCAGAAUCCUAAAAAAGUACAUGUAACUGGCUUUAUGUGUGCUCACUGGCUUGCUUUCUUACAGUGUAGUAGCUUACAGAAUUAAGAAUCAUUUAUUUCAUUUCAACCUGUUGAACAGAGGAAUUAUAUGUGACCGAAUAUUUUGUUGAAAGGAUAUAGUUCUUGGGAAACAGAUUUAAGUGUGUUUUGUUGAAAGGGGAUGUAUGCUCUUUGGUGUGAUAUGAGCAAAUACAAAUAGUCCAGAAUAGCAGGAAAAAACACUGAUCAUGUUAUUGAUUUUAGGGUUUAUUGACACCAUAUCUUUUCCUCAAUGCUGUAAAAGUUCAACUUCAUCCCAACUGUAGAUGUCUGCAUUUAGAAUUUUGGAUUUUGUGUUCUUUCCCUAGUCAACAAGACCUCACUUGUUUUGCAAAAGCUAUAAUGUGACUAAAUCUCAAAAAUCAUUAACUGAGUUUUAUGUGAAUAAAUAUAAUCCCUCUAGUGCAUAUACAAUUUUAUAAUUUCCUUUUUAGUUGUAGACUUAUCAUACUAUAUCUGUGCCUCAGAACAGUAUAAUUCAUAUAUGCAUAUAUUAGGUUCUCAAUUAGAACAGUUUAACAACAAUGCUAAAAUAUCCACAAUGAAAAACAAAAGCAAUCUUUAAAAAAGAAAAAAACAAAAAGAAAAGAAAAGAAAGA